rnacentral:rRNA from 1 species
AACGAACGCUGGCGGCAUGCUUAACACAUGCAAGUCGAGCGCCCCGCAAGGGGAGCGGCAGACGGGUGAGUAACGCGUGGGAAUCUACCGAGCCCUACGGAAUAGCUCCGGGAAACUGGAAUUAAUACCGUAUACGACCUUCCGGGGAAAGAUAUAUCGGGGUGUGAUGAGCCCGCGUUUGAUUAGCUAGUUGGUGGGGUAAAGGCCUACUAAGGCGAAGAUCCAUAGCUGGUCUGAGAGCAAGAGCAGCCACAUUGGGACUGAGACACGGUCCAAACUCCUACGGGAGGCAGCAGUGGGGAAUAUUGGACAAUGGGCGCAAGCCUGAUCCAGCCAUGCCGCGUGAGUGAUGAAGGCCCUAGGGUUGUAAAGCUCUUUCACAGGUGAAGAUAAUGACGGUAACCGGAGAAGAAGCCCCGGCUAACUUCGUGCCAGCCGCCGCAGUAAAAC